AUGACCUAAAACAAUGAAAGCCCUUCCUCUCUUCCAUCCUUGCGGCUCCUUGACCGCGCCAGCGGGAAUCAGGUAUAUCGGAUUAUU
rnacentral:sRNA from 1 species